rnacentral:rRNA from 1 species
AUGGCCGGCCGCCCCCGCCCGCAGGCGCACUCGUCGUCCGCCUCCACGCGGCGGCGCGAGCGGUGGCUUGUCGUCCUCGGCAUCGUGCUCCACGCCGUCUACAUGCUGAGCAUAUUCGAUAUCUACUUCAAGUCCCCCAUCGUCCACGGCAUGGCCCCGGUGCCGCCCCGCCUCUCCGCGCCUCCAGCCAAGCGCCUCGUCCUCCUUGUUGCGGACGGGCUCAGGGCGGACAAGUUCUUCGAGCCGGACGAGCGGGGAAGGUAUAGGGCACCAUUCCUGCGUGGGGUGAUUGAGGAGAAGGGCCGGUGGGGCGUCAGUCACGCGCGGCCACCCACCGAGUCCAGGCCAGGGCACGUCGCCAUCAUCGCCGGCUUCUACGAGGAUCCCAGUGCUGUAACAAAAGGAUGGAAGGCCAAUCCAGUUGAGUUUGAUUCUGUAUUCAAUCAAAGUCGACACACUAUCUCGUUUGGGAGUCCAGAUAUUGUUCCUAUAUUCUGUAGCAGCCUACCUCACUGUACCUGGGGUAGUUAUCCACAUGAAUACGAAGACUUUGCAACAGAUGCAUCAUUUUUGGAUCAUUGGUCGUUUGACCAGUUUGAAGGUCUUCUCAACAGGUCUCUUGAUGAUGUUAAAUUGAGGCAGUUACUCCUACAGGAUAAGUUGGUUAUAUUUCUGCACUUUCUGGGUUGCGAUUCUAAUGGUCAUGCACAUCGGCCCUAUUCAAGCAUCUAUCUGAACAAUGUCAAGGUUGUUGAUGAAAUAGCUGAGAGAAUGUACAAUCUCAUGGAAAGCUACUUCAAUGACAACCGGACAGCUUACGUUUUUACUGCAGAUCAUGGAAUGAGCGACAAAGGAAGCCAUGGAGACGGACACCCUUCAAAUACUGAUACUCCACUUGUAGCAUGGGGGGCUGGAAUCAGGAGCCCAAAAUUCUUGGCCUAUACAGACAAACCUGAUGAUGGCUUUCGGUUUGUUGAUGACCACAGACACGAUAUGCCCACGCCACAGAACUGGGCUCUUGAAGGCUUCGAAAGAGUUGAUGUCAACCAGGCUGAUAUAGCUCCUCUAAUGGCGACACUUGUUGGUCUGCCAUGCCCUUUGAAUUCUGUGGGGAACUUACCUUCUCAUUAUCUGAAGUUAAGCAAGUCUGAUGAAGUUGAAGCAGUUCUGGCCAACACAAAACAAAUUCUUAACCAGUUCCUCCGAAAGUCAGAGCAGAAGCAAUCCAGUUCACUCUAUUUUAAGCCUUUUAAACCACUGGUGAACUAUUCGUCUGUCCUCGAUCGAAUCGAAGAUCUAAUAUCUGCAAGGGACUACAAAACUGCCAUGAAGUAUUCUGAAGAGCUCCGUAUUAUGGCUCUUGCUGGUCUCCAUUAUUUCCAAACAUACGACUGGUUCAUGUUAAUGACAACCAUUACCCUUGGAUACAUUGGAUGGAUGGCAAACCUCAUUCUACAUGUGCUACAGUCUUAUACAACAUUUCCUGCUAAUCUUCUAAAGAGGACUCAAGUUUAUCCCAAGAAUACCUCCAUGAAAGUAUACAUAGGUGGAUGCUUGUUCAUGGGUUUAUCAUCCAUUAUACUACUUCUAGAGAAAUCUCCACCUCUUUACCAUGCCUAUGUAUUUAUGACAAUAUUCCUUUGGACAAGAAUUGUACAAAACUAUGAAUUCAUGAAGUCAGCAUGGAGAGAAUUGUUUAAUAUGCCAUUUAAGUACAUUAUGAAUCUUCUGAUCAGUUCGGUUGCUGCAUUGCUCAUAUUGGAGUUUUUGGUUAUGAGCUUCUUUGAUCGGAAGCUUUAUACCUGGUGCUUUUUGGCCCUUGGGAUACUAGCUUCAGUUUGUGGAGCCUUUUCUAUUGAAGCUAGCCCUGCUGUUGCAAUAUACACAUGGCUCGCAUGCUGGUUCCUGUCUGUAUUCACAUUGAUGCCAGCUGAAAUUCCAGAGAACAACAACUUAGUAAUUUUUAGUGGGGCACUUAUAAUACUGAUCGCAAUGGCUUCGAGAUGGGCGACCAUCAAUACCACUACCUUUUGGUUGUAUCUUAAUCGAGCAAACAAACAAGCCCCUAAAUCCUCCAUGUUAUUUUCCGUUCAGGUUAUUUUGAUCUCAGUGUCUUCAAUAAUGGUGUGGUUAACUACAUCUCAUCGGUCCCAGCACAAAGAACUGCACCCGUUGCACCAGUUGAUCAACUGGUGCGUAGCUGGUUUUGCGAUGGCACUACCGCUCUUUUCACCUUGUAGUGUUCUAUCCCGUCUUACAUCUAUCUUCUUGGGUUUUGCUCCUCCGUUUCUGCUGCUUUCUAUUGGCUAUGAAGCGGUUUUCUAUAGUGCUUUUGCGCUGGUACUCAUGGGAUGGAUAUUUCUUGAAUCUGCCAACUUGUUUUGCUCUGAAGGAAGCAAUUCUUCAUGCCACAGUAGCCUUGCGGAUGGAUCAGUUUAUGGCUAUGACGAAAGAUGCUUACAACUAUCUGAUUUACGAAUCCCUCUGUUAUUUAUGAUCUUAUUCAAUGUUGCUUUCUUUGGAACUGGUAAUUUUGCAAGUAUUGCAAGCUUUGAGAUCUCAUCUGUGUACAGAUUCAUCACAAUAUUUAGUCCAUUUCUUAUGACGGCACUUCUUAUUUUCAAAUUGUUCAUUCCAUAUAUGCUUGUCAUAUGUACAUUUAGUGCCAUAACCAAGAUUGUACGGAUUCCACGUAUCGGUUGUUAUUUUCUUGUAAUACUGCUUUCAGAUGUGAUGACAAUUCAUUUCUUUUUUCUGGUCCAAAACACAGGGAGCUGGAUGGAGAUUGGCAACAGCAUUAGUCAUUUUGGAAUUGUGAGUGCACAAGUAGUCUUCGUGUUGCUGCUUUUUGCACUCACAAAUAUAUACACAAAAGAUAUCGAAGUCUCGUCUCGGCAAUUAACCUCGCGAAAAUUUAUGUGA